GUAAACUUGUACUCUUUGACGCAUCACAAUGACCUUAAGCUAGGUGUAUAUUGCAAGUACUUUACUAUCUAUCUCUACAAGCAAUCAAUAAAAGAAGCUUUAAAUUCCAAAAUUUAGAGUUUGACCAACCCUGCCCACAUUAUUGGAGUGAUGAUUUUUUCCCUAAGAGAAAAGGUCAACACACAGUUUACUUUAUUUGGGAGUUAAAAGCCUCUAGUUUCAGGAAAUUAAAGUAAUACUAUGGAUCUAUGUCGAGGAAGACGUAGAAGCCAUAGAUUAGAGACAGACUGAAUAUUACUAGUCCCUAAAACCAGUUAUAAUUGCACUCUUUUGCACAUAAAAAGUGAAGGAAUA
rnacentral:misc_RNA from 1 species